rnacentral:rRNA from 1 species
GACGAACGCUGGCGGCGUGCUUAACACAUGCAAGUCGAGCGAUGAAGUUCCUUCGGGAAUGGAUUAGCGGCGGGCGGGUGAGUAACACGUGGGUAACCUGCCUCAUAGAGGGGAAUAGCCUUUCGAAAGGAAGAUUAAUACCGCAUAAGAUUGUAGUACCGCAUGGUACAGCAAUUAAAGGAGUAAUCCGCUAUGAGAUGGACCCGCGUCGCAUUAGCUAGUUGGUGAGGUAACGGCUCACCAAGGCGACGAUGCGUAGCCGACCUGAGAGGGUGAUCGGCCACAUUGGGACUGAGACACGGCCCAGACUCCUACGGGAGGCAGCAGUGGGGAAUAUUGCACAAUGGGGGAAACCCUGAUGCAGCAACGCCGCGUGAGUGAUGACGGUCUUCGGAUUGUAAAGCUCUGUCUUCAGGGACGAUAAUGACGGUACCUGAGGAGGAAGCCACGGCUAACUACGUGCCAGCCGCCGCCGUAACAC